GAAUAAUCACAAGAUACAGUUAGAUACUUCUGUUUCUGAUUUAAUAGAUUGUAUAUACUUACAUAUACUAAUUGUAUGCUAUUAGAAAUGUGAUUUAUCACUCGUCCAAAAUUUACAAACUCCAGAGAGUAAGGCACUAGAAUGUAGUUUUUAUUUAUAUCUAGUAAGCAUCAAACUUAUAACUCUGAUUCUUAUCCAAAGUUUUUUUUAAAAAAAUUGUAACUAAAGCAACAUAAUCAGCAUGUGAUGACAAAGGUGUGAUAAAGGAGAAUAAAGAGGAAAGGAAAGGAAAAAUACUUAAUUUAUUAUAAUCUGAACUAUUAGAGGAAAUUUGUGGAUGAAAAAGUAGAAGAAAAACAUAGUCUACUUUUAAUAGUACCUGAUAAACCUUCACUCCUAUCCCUGAAAUAAUUUAUUUCUUUUUCUUUGUCUUCAUACCCCCUCUACCUCAUCAGAUUUGUCAAGAAUUCCAAAACUGAAACAGUAUGAUAUAAUAGUGGUCAUUUCUGUGAGGAGUCAAAAACAGUGAUGAGUGGUCUGGCUCCUCUUUUGUGUGCACAGUUACAAGCUUCCCAAUAUCAAACUUAAGUUUCGAAGUUGUCUUUCCUGAUGCCUGGCUUUUGGAUGCUACAGAAGGCUCCCAGAGUGUCCAAAAGAGAGGUAAACAAGAUUAUUUGAUGUGUUUGGAUACAUGAGAUUGCCAAAAUGGUGUUCAAUCUUCUUU
rnacentral:lncRNA from 1 species